rnacentral:rRNA from 1 species
UACGUAGGGGGCAAGCGUUGUCCGGAAUCAUUGGGCGUAAAGCGCGUGUAGGCGGCCAGGUAAGUCCGUUCUGAAAGCCCGGGGCUCAACCUCGGGAGGCGGAUGGAUACUGCUUGGCUCGAGUCCGGAAGAGGCGAGUGGAAUUCCCGGUGUAGCGGUGAAAUGCGCAGAUAUCGGGAGGAACACCAAUGGCGAAGGCAGCUCGCUGGGACGGUACUGACGCUGAGACGCGAAAGCGUGGGGAGCAAACAGG